rnacentral:rRNA from 1 species
AUUGAACGCUGGCGGCAGGCCUAACACAUGCAAGUCGAGCGAGCGGCGGACGGGUGAGUAGUGUCUCGGAAACUGCCUGAUGGAUGAGGAUAACUACUGGAAACGGUAGCUAAUUCCGUAUACCAUCAGCUGGGCCGAGAUGGGAUUAGCUAGUAGGUGGGGUAAAGGCUCACCUAGGCGACGAUCCCUAGCUGGUCUGAGAGGAUGCCCAGCCACACUGGAACUGAGACACGGUCCAGACUCCUACGGGAGGCAGCAGUGGGGAAUAUUGCACAAUGGGCGCAAGCCUGAUGCAGCCAUGCCGCGUGUAUGAAGAAGGCCUUCGGGUUGUAAAGUACUUUCAGCGGGGAGGCGUUACCCGCAGAAGAAGCACCGGCUAACUCCGUGCCAGCAGCCGCGGUAAUUC